rnacentral:lncRNA from 1 species
AAAAAGUCCCCAAUAUAUUUUCAUUUUUAGAAAUCCCCACUUUAGACUUAAAAUGAUCUGCUUCUAUGAGGAUUUUUGAUAUGAUACAUUAAUCAAACUUAACUAUGUGCCCCUUAAGAAUAUUGUCAGUUCUAUCAAUCUUCAUAGCUCACCCAGUGCUAGGUGAGUGUUUUGAACACGGAAUGUGUUUGUGCUUCAGGCAUUCUGUCUCUAAGGAUGGAAUGGAAAACCCUUCCCUUUCAAGCUUUACAGGUACGUUGUGUCAAGUGGAGAAGAUCAGUUCUGGUUAGCAGCUUUAUUGCCACAGAAAGGACACUGGCAGAUACUUCUCAUAGCUCUAGUCAUGCUGAAUUCCCAGAAAGGGGUGUCAGAAUGAAUUGCUCUAAGCUCUUCUCCCUGGUAGAAGAACCUGUGACUUCUCUUGGAGAUCUCUUCAAUUUUCGGAAGCUGAUGCUUACAACAAUGGAGAUUAGCAAUACCUGGACAGAGUUGAGCUUCAAAGGAUACUGAGAAAUGGCUAAAGCAGAUGAUAAAGAAAAAAUGAGGAAAUGCUGUGAAGAACUAAUAGAACGUUUCAGAAGCAGAACAAGUCGAGAGCAGUGAUGACCCUUUUCUUCCUGCUAGUACCUCCUGUCUGUCUGGCUGAACUCACCAUCAGAUGAUGUCUUGAACCUCACCUAGAUGGGCUGGUGGUGUGUGGCCAGGUUAAGAGCACCAACAGGAGUAAGAAAGUGACCUGCCUGGUUUUACCGUGUGCACUAGGGGAGGGGUUGAAAGCUUUCGGUUGAUACAUCACCUCUGGGAGUUGAAGAAGAAUGCAAUUAAGAGAGCUAAAGAAGUCAGUAUAGAAUCUGAAACUCAGAGGUCAACUGAUGUGUCAAAGAUACCUCCACAAAUCAGUACCUUGAUUAAAACUAAAAUUGGAGUCAUCUUCAUAUCUUCAUCUUUCUCCCUCUUCAUUAGGACCGAUUGUAGUCUGUUUCCCUCUCACUCACUUGCAAUCUUUAUUGCUUUAGUGUUGCAUUUGAUUUUUAUCUUUGUUUUUGUUUUAAAUACUGUCAUUAAAGUCAUAGAAAAAUCUAAAGUAAAACUGGUUGAAUAAAAAUUUUAAAAUCGACUCUAAUGUAAUAAACCAGACAAAAAUGAUACUUUACAUGUUAUAUCUUCCCUUUAAACUACAAAUAUUCAUUGAGUGUAUACCCUGUAUUAGGCUGUUGGAAUAAAACAGGGAAGAAGACAGAAGAAACUGCACCGCCAUCUUAGAUCUUGCAGCCAAAUUCCUCUGAACUUUUCUCUAAAGACGUGCUCUGGAAAAAUGUUGAUCAUUUUCCUACAUCAUGGAGGUCUUUUCAUGACCACCUUUGUCUAGACAAUGUCCUGUUUUUAGGUGCACGUUUGAGGGCUGGAGUCUCUGACCCACAGUGCUGCAGCCUGCACGUGGUUUGUCCUGACUUCUUUGCUACUUCACUUUUCGUAAGGCUCUGAGAGUGCAGGCCCUUGUGGGUGGACACUGCAGGGUGAGAGGAAGAAGUAAACUACUUUUUUCCGUUUCUGAUGGGGGUGUGGGUCAGCAGCUAUAAGCAACAGGGACCAUGGGGGGCCUCAGACUUCAGCACCUGAGAGGCAGUUUCAGUCGUAUUGGGGAGAUGCAGGCAUCUGGGUUGCUGCACAUCACCAGGGCAGGGUUCUCUCAGCAGCCCUGGAGUGCAGAGUUCCCAUCAGCUCAGCAGUGAGGGGCACAUGGGGCUCCAG